rnacentral:rRNA from 1 species
AGAGUGAACGCUGGCGGUAGGCCUAACACAUGCAAGUCGAACGGCAGCACAGUAGGAGCUUGCUCUUACGGGUGGCGAGUGGCGGACGGGUGAGGAAUACAUCGGAAUCUACCUUUUGGUGGGGGAUAACGUAGGGAAACUUACGCUAAUACCGCAUACGCCCUUCGGGGGAAAGCCGGGGACCAGCAAUGGCCUGGCGCUGAUAGAUGAGCCGAUGUCGGAUUAGCUAGUUGGUGAGGUAAUGGCUCACCAAGGCGACGAUCCGUAGCUGGUCUGAGAGAUGAUCAGCCACACUGGAACUGAGACACGGUCCAGACUCCUACGGGAGCCAGCGAGUGGGAAUAUGGACAAGUGGGCGACAAGCCUAGACUCCAGCCAGACCG